rfam:Ruminococcus sp. CAG:9 genomic scaffold, scf280
UGAUAUCAGGGUCAAAAGUUCAAAAAGUCGUUCGUGCUUGCACGAUAAGAUUUUUGAACCUGGGACCCGCCAAACAUGAGAAAGCAGCGAUUUACGCAGUAAAUCAGCGAAUUUCGAAUCUUAUAAUUUAUUCGUUUUAUAGUUGCAGUUAAGAGACGCUGUAUGAUAUUA